CGUAGGGGCCAAGCGUUGUUCGGAUUUACUGGGCGUAAAGGGCGCGUAGGCGGCGCAACAAGUCACUUGUGAAAUCUCCGGGCUUAACCCGGAGCGGCCAAGUGAUACUGUCGUGCUAGAGUGCGGAAGGGGCUACUGGAAUUCUCGGUGUAGCGGUGAAAUGCGUAGAUAUCGAGAGGAACACCUGCGGCGAAGGCGGGUAGCUGGGCCGACACUGACGCUGAGGCGCGAAAGCCAGGGGAGCGAACGGGAUUAGAUACCCCGGUAGUCCUGGCCUUAAACGAUGGAUGCUUGGUGUCCGGGGUUACAUAGUCCCCGGGUGCCGGCGCUAACGCAUUAAGCAUCCCGCCUGGGGAGUACGGUCGCAAGACUG
rnacentral:rRNA from 1 species